AGAGUUUGAUUCUGGCUCAGAACGAACGCUGGCGGCGUGGAUAAGACAUGCAAGUUGGGCGGGUAGCUAGUGCAGCAAUGUGUUAGAUAUCAGCAGCGCAAGGGUGCGUAACACGUGGGCUACAUACCUAGAAGUGGAAAAUAACGCCGAGAAAUCGGUGCUAAUGUUCCAUGUGAUUAGCUGUGAAAACAGCUAUUUAAAGCCGGGGACCGCAAGGCCUGGUGCUUCAUGAUUGGCCCGCGGCCUAUCAGUUAGUUGGUGGGGUAAUGGCUCACCAAGACGAAGACGGGUAGCUGGUCUGAGAGGACGACCAGCCACACUGGAACUGAGACACGGUCCAGACACCUACGGGUGGCAGCAGUCGAGAAUUUUUCUCAAUGGGGGAAACCCUGAAGGAGCGACGCCGCGUGGAGGAUGAAGGUCUUCGGAUUGUAAACUCCUGUCAUGAGGGAGUAAGACACAGCGUUAACUGCGUAUGUGUUUGAUAGUACCUCAAGAGGAAGAGACGGCUAACUCUGUGCCAGCAGCCGCGGUAAUACAGAGGUCUCAAGCGUUGUUCGGAUUCAUUGGGCGUAAAGGGUGCGUAGGUGGCGUGGUAAGUCAGAUGUGAAAUCCCCGGGCUCAACCUGGGAACUGCAUUUGAUACUGCCAUGCUUGAGUGCUGGAGGGGAGACUGGAAUUCACGGUGUAGCAGUGAAAUGCGUAGAUAUCGUGAGGAAGACCGGUGGCGAAGGCGAGUCUCUGGACAGCAACUGACACUGAGGCACGAAGGCUAGGGGAGCAAACGGGAUUAGAUACCCCGGUAGUCCUAGCAGUAAACGGUGCACGUUUGGUGUGGGCGGGUUCAGACCCCGUCCGUGCCGGAGCUAACGCGUUAAACGUGC
rnacentral:rRNA from 1 species